UAUGAGUGAUUCCGGUUGGUGUAGGCCGCGAUUAGGGGUUUGCUGAAGGUGUUGACGGUGAGGUCAUGAUUUCAGGUGGCGGUGGAAUCGAUUGUGGAGAUGGAAGAAGGCGAAGGGUUUGAAUCACGGUGAGAGAGGGUUUGGUGGUGGCGAUUCACGGUGAGGUAAGCGAUUUACACGGAGGUUGAGCGGAGAUGGGAGGACGCGUUAGGUUGUGUUGCGAUGAAGAUGAUGAAGGGUUUGAGGGUUACCGUUGGUGGUGGCGAAAGGGAUUUUGACGGUGGAUUCCGUGGUUGUGUUGGUGGAAGAGGAGGAUGGAGGGUUUUGUGAGGGAGAAAGAGAGUGAGGGAUUUUGAGAGAGGCGGAGGGUUUUGUAAGGGUUUCUGUGAAGUGGAGUGUGAGCGAGAGAGGAGAGGGAAAGGUGAAGUGUGUCAUUUGUGGGUGAGUGAUUUGUGAGGAUCCGCAAUCCGAGAGAGUGAAGGGUCGGUGAAAUAGUGAGGUGUCCAUCUGAGUGGAAUUCUGUUUUGAGUGGAUUGUGGGUAGGCACGUGGAGCGUGUGAGGAUUAUACCAGCAGCUUAUGAGUGAAUUUUUUUGUUUUUAGUGGAUUGGGGGAUCCAAUGUAAGAAAUAUACAUUUUCCAUAAUUGUUAUUUAAAUAAUAAAUCAUAAAAACCUUAGUUAAU
rnacentral:lncRNA from 1 species